rnacentral:rRNA from 1 species
AUAUUGCACACUGGGGGAAACCUUGAUGCAGCGACGCCGCCGUGAGUGAAGAAGUAUUUCGGUACGUAAAGCUUUAUUAGCAGGGAAGAAAUAAAUUCCCCAGGACUUUGGUCGGUGCCCGACUAUGAAGCCCUGGCUAUCUACGUGCCACCACACCGCGGUAUUAUGUAGGGGGCACGCGUUAUCUCGGAUUUUUUGGGUGUAAAGGGAGACGUAGACGCCUGUGCAAGUCUGAAGUGAAAUACCGGGGCCCUCCCCCGGAACUGCUUUGGAAACUGUACAGCUAGAGUGCAUGAGGGGUGAGCGGAAUUCUUAGUGUAGCGGUGAAAUGCGUAGAUAUUAGGAGGAACACCGCUGGCGAAGGCGGCUCUCUGGACUGUAACUGACGUUGAGGCUCGAAAGCGUGGGGAGCACACACGAUUGGAUACCCUGGUAGUCCACGCCCUAAACGAUGAUUAAUAGGUGUCGAGAGGCCAAGGCCUCUCGGUACAGGCGCAAAAUCAUUAAGUAAUCCACUUGAGGAGUAUGUUCGCAAGAAUGAAAAUGAAAGGAAUUGAAGGGUACCAGCACAAGCGGUUGAGCAUGUGGUUUAAUCAGAAACAACGAGAAGAACAUAACCUGUCCUUGACAUCGGGAUGAAUGUACAGUAAUGUGUACAGGAGUUCGGAUACAUCCGGAGACAGUGUGGUGCAUGGUAGUUGUCAGCUGGUGUCGUGAGAUAGAUGGGUUAAGUCCCGCAAUCGAGCGCAACCCCUGUCCUCAGUAGCCAGCAGGGAAAGCUGGGAACUGAGAGGGUAAUACCCGGGAUAAUCGGGAGGAAGGCGGGGAUGACGUCAAAUCAUCAUGACCCUUAUGGCCGGGGGUACACACGUGAUACAAUGGCGGAAACAGUGGGAAGCAGCCCGGCGAGGGUGAGCGAACCCCAAAAAUACUGCCUCAGUUAGGAAGGUAGUGUUCAACCCGAAAACAAGAAGCCGGAAUCGCUAGUAAUCGCGAAUCAGAAU